rnacentral:rRNA from 1 species
UAAUACGGCGAGCGAGCGGGAAGAGCUCAAUUUGAAAGCUGGCGUCUUCGGCGUCCGCGUUGUAAUCUCGAGACGUGUUUUUCCGUGCGGCUCUAUGGACAAGUCCCUUGGAACAGGGCAUCGUAGAGGGUGAAAAUCCCGUACUUGCCAUGGAAGUACCGUGCUUUGUGAUACACGCUCCAAGAGUCGAGUAGUUUGGGAUUGCUGCUCAAAGUGGGUGGUAGACUCCAUCUAAAGCUAAAUAUCGGGGAGAGACCGAUAGCGAACAAGUACCGUGAGGGAAAGAUGAAAAGCACUUUGGAAAGAGAGUUAAAAGUACGUGAAAUUGUCGAAAGGGAAGCACUUGAAGUCAGCCAUGCUGCUUGAGACUCAGCCUGGCUUUUGCUUGGUGUAUUUCUCGGUAGCAAGCCAGCAUUGGUUUGUGUCGUCGGAGAAGCGCAUGGGGAAUGUGGCAUCCUCGGAUGUGUUAUAGCCCUGUGCAGGAUACGACGACGUAGACCAAGGAACGCAGUGUGCCCUCUGGGCGGGUCUUCGGACACCUUCACGCUUAGGAUGCUGGCGUAAUGGCUUUAAGUGGCCCGUCUUGAACCCCGGGACCCCUUAAAGCCAUUACGCCGGCAUCCUAAGCGCGUAGGGGCCGAGACCCGCCUAAGGGGCAAUGGGGUUCCUGGGCCUAG